AAUAAGUGCAGUUUUGCACUAUUCACGUUCAACGUUUGACCGUCCGUCUAAUUUGAAAUUUUUUUAUGAUUCGUAUUUUUAUUGAUAUUAGAUGAUAAAACAUGAAUAGUACUUUAUGUGUGACUAAAUGUUUUUAAUUUUUUCAUAAAUUUUUUAAAUAAGACGGACGGUCAAACGUUGAACGUGAAUAGUGCAAAACUGCACUUAUU
rfam:Oryza nivara chromosome 11, whole genome shotgun sequence.